rnacentral:rRNA from 1 species
GAUGAACGCUAGCGGCAGGCCUAAUACAUGCAAGUCGAACGGAGUGGAGCAGCAAUGCUUCACUUAGUGGCGCACGGGUGCGUAACGCGUAUGCAACCUACCUUUUAUUGGGGAUAGCCCGAAGAAAUUCGGAUUAAUACCGCAUAAUAUCAUUUGAGGGCAUCUGAGGAUGAUGAAAGCUUUGGCGAUAAAAGAUGGGCAUGCGUGUCAUUAGCUAGUUGGUCGAGGUAACGGCUCACCAAGGCGACGAUGACUAGGGGUUCUGGGAGAAUGAUCCCCCACACUGGUACUGAGAUACGGACCAGACUCCUACGGGAGGCAGCAGUAGGGAAUAUUGGGCAAUGGCGGAAACGCUGACCCAGCCAUGCCGCGUGCCGGAUGAAGGCCUUCUGGGUUGUAAACGGCUUUUACCAGGGAAGAACCUACCUUUGCGAAGGGAACUGACGGUACCUGGUGAAUAAGCACCGGCUAACUCCGUGCCAGCAGCCGCAGUAAAAC